GUAAAGGAUCUUAUGUUUCGUAUUCUAAUGUUUACUAGAUAGAUUUGUGUGUGUGUGUGUGUGUGUGUGUGUGUGUGUAUGUGUGUGGUGAUCGUUCUCCCCCACUGCUUGGCACAUGGAUUAAUAGCAUCUGUUAGCAGCAGCUUGGCCAUCCAUCCUACUUUCUCUGGACUGGAUGUGUGUAGGGCAAUAUUUGGGUUCCUCCUUCAGGCCUAGUUGGCAGGACGUUUGUCCCUCUAUGACACUUACUUGGCUCUGAGAGAAAGAAACAGGCUUUGUUUUACAAGAAAAUGGAAAGAGAUGCACUCUGCAACUGUUCAUCUUGGCCUUGUAGCUUUGUUGGUGAGUUGGAAUAUAGGCCUAUAAUGUGAUUCAAAAUAUGGAAUUCCCCUACAGUGCUGGCAUGCAAAGUUUCACCUUUACAUUCAAAUGCCAACUGUUUAGUCUACAGGUGUUAUUUGGGUUGCCAUGGUAACACAGGGGCCUAGCCUGGAAAGUCGGAGUGGGGACACUGUCCAUCUUUCGCCCUGAGACACCAUCUCGCACAAGGCCAUGUAAAAUCUUGUCGAACCAUGUCAGUUUUCCCAAUUGUGUUUCAAUGGCUCUGUGGCUGCAGCCUUUUAGCUAGUAUUUGAAAUAAGCCUAGGUGCUUUCUUGUGAGUGGAGCCUAGGUGAUUUAUUCUCAGUAGAGCCUAGGUGAUUUAUUCUCAGUAGAGCCUAGGUGAUUUAUUCUCAGUAGAGCCUAGAUGAUUUAUUCUCAGUAGAGCCUAGGUGAUUUAUUCUCAGUAGAGCCUAGGUGUUUGCUUCUGUGUAGAGCCUAGGUGAUUUAUUCUCAGUAGAGCCUAGGUGAUUUAUUCUCAGUAGAGCCUAGGUGUUUGCUUCUGUGUAGAGCCUAGGUGAUUUAUUCUCAGUAGAGCCUAGGUGAUUUAUUCUCAGUAGAGCCUAGGUGAUU
ensembl:lncRNA